rnacentral:rRNA from 1 species
UCGUCCUCGGACGCAGCAGUCGGGAAUAUUGCGCAAUGGAGGAAACUCUGACGCAGUGACGCCGCGUGCAGGAAGAAGGUUUUCGGAUUGUAAACUGCUUUAGAUAGGGAAGAAAAAAAUGACAGUACCUAUAGAAUAAGCUCCGGCUAACUACGUGCCAGCAGCCGCGGUAAUACGUAGGGAGCAAGCGUUAUCCGGAUUUAUUGGGUGUAAAGGGUGCGUAGAUGGAUAAACAAGUUGUUUGUGAAAUACCUCGGCUCAACUGAGGAACUGCAAGCAAAACUGAAUAUCUUGAGUACUGGAGG